AGGGGGGGAUUUUGCUAGAUCAUAUGUUAGUUCUAUUUGUAGUUUUUUGAGAGAUCUUCAUACUGUUUUAAAUAGUAGCUAUACCAGUCUGCAUUCCCACCAACAGUGAAUAAGAGUUCCCUUUUCUCUGCAUUCUCACCAACAUUUGUUAUUUUUUGUCUUUUUGAUAA